rnacentral:lncRNA from 1 species
GCCAAAUUAAAGCUAGUAAGAGCUUGCUGAGGAUGCUGCAAAGAGGAUGGAGAAGACGGUGGGAAAUUAGAGGGCUCUUUACAGGUCUAGGACUUCAUUUGUGUGUCUUAUAGAUGUCUGGCUGGUCAGCAAGUGGGUGUGGGCCAGACAAUGUGAGGUGCUGAUUUUCACUCUCAUACCCACUCCAGGAGGCCUACUUCAAGAAGCACAAGUUCAACACGGUUCCAGGUGUCCAGCUCAGGAAUGUGGACAGUCUGAAGAAAGAAGCUUAUGAAGUGGAAGUUCACAGGCUGCUCAGUGAGGCUGAGGUUCUGGACCACAGCAAGAACCCUUGUGAAGACUCUUUCCUGCCAGACACAGAGGGCCACACCUACGUGGCCUUUAUUCGAAUGGAGAAAGAUGAUGACUUCACCACCUGGACCCAGCUUGCCAAGUGCCUCCAUAUCUGGGACCUGGAUGUGCGUGGCAACCAUCGGGGCCUGU